CUGGGCACCAGCAUGUCUGGAGCAGGAAACAUGACUCAUCGCGGGUCCCGUGUGGCUUCAGGUACCCGAGUUGCGGAACUGGGGACUUUGUGACCGCAGAUACUGGUCAACAGGAACUGUGAGUGAAGUCAGUGAGCAGAUGAUUCGUGCGAAUUUGCAGCGAACACGCAUGCGCUUCUCAUGAGUCCCAAGGAAGGAGCUCAGCAGAGAAGUCACUCGGAGCGCCUGACCCGUCUCGGCUGAGCCCAAACUUCCUACGUCAGUCUGUGGCCAGUAGCUUCUUGCUUGAACCUUCUGCUCGCUGCUGUGGACGCCAGUACGAUCCUCAUGAAGCCGCUGAUCCUGUGGGCUCUUGCCCUGCUGCACACAGGUUCGGGCCUCCUUGUGCCCGGAGGCGACGUGGCGUCGCACCCACAGCUCAUGCACUGCUCAUUCCAAGCGCAGCUAGAGGGCCUGCGCCGCAUCUGGUGCAAGAAGAGCAGCGAGCUGUGCUGCUCAGGCGUGGCCUUUAGCAGCGACACGCAGCAGCUGGAAGAGGGCGCCGUGAGCGUGCAGCAGGACCGCAGCACCUUCAACCUCACCAUCUGGCGCCUGGACCAAGGAGAAGGCACCUACUGGUGCGGCCUGCUGAACCUCAACAACACGGUCAUCAAGCUGGCCGAGAGCUACCUACGCUCGCCAGUACCCCCACAAGACCCAGGCAACCUGUGGAGCCUCCUUCGCUGGGUCCUGAUGCCACUGCUCCCCCUGGUGGCCGCCACCAUCCACUUGUGCUCCAGUCGCUGCGGUGCGUGUGCAGGAAAACCCCAUGUGAACCAGAGAGGCGAGGAAAGCGUGUACGAGGUGGCUCAGUGUGGACAGCAGUGACACACUUGGACCGCUCUGCACACUGGAACAUAAACGACCUUCUUUUGUGAAAUAUCUUCUGGAAAACUGAACCCAGAUGGCAAAAGUCUUUGUUCGUGUAGAGUUUUACAACCAGCGAUAAGUAAAAUAUUAAAAAUGAGUGUCAUCAUUUUGUUUGUCCCCUCUAUUCCUCCUUUUCCCACAACACAGCAGUGUAAAGUACCUGCUCAGUGGUUUUACACUUUUACACAUAUUUUACAUAAGACCUUCUCCCUUUGAUUUGAUUAAGAUCCAUUUAAUAAAGGAGACAUUGGGGUGUUUUCA
rnacentral:lncRNA from 1 species